UUACUGGUAGGAGUUUUUGUUGGCUUAGAACCCUCCGUCUCUUUUUCAUCUGUGUAUUUCAGUGCUCUUUUAGCUAGAGGCCUGGUGACUGGUCUAUCUGAAUUGCUCGUGGGAUUCUGAAUGUACUUGCAAGUGGGCAAAUAGAGGUCAUCGGAAUCAUCUCCUGAACCACUUGAUUCACAGAGGCUCACUUCAGACUCGUUGUUUUCUUCUCUAUUAGAGUCAUUGCUCACUUUUUGUCGGAAAGGAGUAAGAUGAACACCCUCUUCCAAAUUAAAAUUGAAACGUUCCUGGCUGAAUCAGCUUUGGUGAUAAGUUAACUUGGUCCUUGCUCCAUUGACAAGCAUUGUGUUGUACAUUUUCAGGGAAUUUUCUACUCUAGACAUUAAACAGAUUUAGGGACUCCAGGAAGGCCGGGGGGAGGUGGGGCUGGCGGAAGUGGACGCGGCGACCCUCCUGCCGCAGGCGCGUCCAGAACGAUACCUUGGCCACUACUUCUGCAACAGCUAUCUUCCUCCUCCUCACAUUUCAAGGCUCUUCGAAGCUCUCCAGCCACGGCUAGCCCCGCGCACUGGGCCCUCCAGGACCGUACCACCGUCCGCCGUCGCCUGGAACUACCGCCGCCACAUUCGAAAUUUUCCGCCUCGCUCCUCCAUUGGUUGGCUGGGAGGCGGUCACGUGGCGCAGGAUGCACCCAACACCACCGUCGCAGGCAGAGUCCCGCCCCGCCAGGCGACGUCACGUGACGCACAUUCGCUCAAGUCCACAUCCGGGCAUCCACCUGGCCCUGGGGCGGAGCCUGCGGUCGGGUCUCGGCGACCCGCCGGGACUUUCUAAUCAGAGUCGUGGGGAUUGUGAUAGGUAGUUCAAAGCUUCCUGUUUCUUCAGUCUGACAGCUUCAAAUGUCCCGGGUUGUGCUCAAAGCCUCCCUCUUGUGAGAAGAAUCUCUUUGGUUGCCUGUUAAAGCGGUCAGCCAGCUUGCAACACGGAAGCAGCUUUUAGAGGAAUUAAAACCAAAACAAGGAGCAAAUUCUGGAUUAAAAAGGUGGAUGAAGAAACAUCCUGAGAAGGUUGACAUGCUGAAUGCCUUAAAGAACUUCAAUUGGGAUGCCAGAUGAAAGUGUAACUAGAAUUUCUAUGGCUUAA
rnacentral:lncRNA from 1 species